AAUUGACCAUAAGAAAUUAGAAUCCUGAUUCCUCCGCUCGCUCACCCUCUCUCUCAACGCAGAGACGGCCUCAAACCCUUUCUUCCAAAUCCUCGACCCAAACCCCUCCAAGAAAAGCUCCCAGUUCAUAGUUUCACUGGCUGAGAGGGCCCGGGGAAGCUAGAGAGCCAUGGAUUCGGAUCAGGGGAAGCUGUUCAUCGGCGGUAUUUCUUGGGAGACCACGGAGGAAAAGCUGAAGGAGCACUUUGAGAACUACGGGGACGUGUUGCAGACUGUGGUGAUGAGGGACAAGACCACUGGGAGGCCCAGAGGGUUCGGCUUCGUGGUCUUCACAGAUCCUUCCAUUCUCGAUAGGGUUCUCCUGGACAGCCACACCAUUGAUGGCAGAACGGUUGAGGCUAAGAGGGCCUUAUCGAGAGAGGAACAGCAGACUUCUGCCAAAUCUGUGAAUCCUAGUCUUGCUAGAAGCUCUGGGGGUGGUGGAACUUUCAGAACCAAGAAGAUAUUUGUUGGAGGGCUGCCUUCUACUUUAGGUGAAGAAGAAUUUCGUGAGCAUUUUGAGGCUUAUGGCCAUGUAACUGAUGUAGUAGUCAUGUAUGACCAGAAUACUGGGCGACCUCGUGGGUUUGGGUUUAUUACCUUUGAUGAUGAAGAAGCUGUUGAUAGGGUUUUACACAAAAGCUUUCAUGAUUUAAAUGGUAAACAAGUGGAAGUAAAGCGAGCUCUUCCUAAAGAUGCAAAUCCUGGUGGGGGAAACCGUACCAUGGGAGGCGGUGGUAGUGGUUCACUUGGCAGUGGUUAUCAAAACUAUGGGGCAUCUGGUGGCAACCCAAAUACAUAUGAUGGUCGAAUGGAUUCCAGUAGGUACAUGCAGACACAAAGUUCCGGAGGUGGUUUUGCUCCUUAUGGUUCCUCUGGAUAUAGUGCACCUGGCUAUGGGUAUGGUCCUGCCAAUAAUGGUAUUAGUUAUGGUGCUUAUGGCAGUUAUGGUGGUGCCAAUACUGGGUAUGGUGGACCUGCUGGUGCGGCAUAUGGAAGCCCAAAUCUUCCUAAUGCUGGUUUUGGAAGUGGCCCACCGGGUGCUUCUAGAAGUUCAUGGAGUGCUCAAGCUCCCACUGGAUAUGGUGCCAUGGGUUAUGGGAACACUGCUGCUUGGGGUGCUCCAGGUGGCAGCACUGGUGCUCCUAGUGGUGGCCCCGGCUCAGCACCUACAGGUCAGUCGCCCAGUGGGGCCACAGGGUAUGGGAAUCAAAGUUAUGGCUACGGUGGUUAUGGUGGAAGUGAUGGGUCUUAUGGAAAUCCUGUUGGGUAUGGUGCUGUUGGAGGACGUUCUGGGAGUGUCCCAAGUAACAAUGCUGGUGGUCCUGCUGGGGGAGAUAUGCAAGGAAGUGGUGGUGGUGGCUACAUGGGAAGUGGCUAUGGUGAUGCGAAUGGAAAUACAGGGUAUGGAAAUGCAGCAUGGAGAUCUGAGCAAUCGCAGACUUCUGGAAAUUAUGGUGCUUCUCAGGUGAAUGGCCCUCAUGGUGGGCAGGUUGGCUAUGGUGGUGGAUAUGCCAAUGCCCAGGCCCGAACCCAACAACAGUAAUAAUUUGGCUAGGGAUCCAACUGAAUCUUCAUCUUUGUUUCUUUACCAUGAGAGGGUCAGAAUUUUUUUCUGUGCAAAGCAGCAGAGGGAGCGGCGCAGUUGGAUGUCAACCCGUUUUGGGACUGGAGAGAUGCACGAGGUCAAAAGUGGAGUGAAGUGUCCACUCAUGGCUGAACACAAGCAUCGUUGUGGGUGCAGGGGGGAGUGUUCAGCAUGGAUGGAAUUUCAGUGUUCAGUUGAAAUUACAAAUUUACCUGGGACAGGUCAUUCUCCAGCCUGGCCAUGCCAGCACUGUCAAGUUUUGCAGAUUCCAGGGAGUUCAAGUGAUAAAACUUCCUAAUCUUCACUCAGGUGUGGUGGUACUGGAGGAUUUUGUGGGGUGAACAGCUCACGGUGCUCCACACUGCAUUUACAGAAUUUCAUUUACUUUUGGAGAGAGAAAUACAAAAAGUACAAGAAGUGAUUACUAAGUGAUAAAAACUUUACCCGAGUCUGGAUGCAGAAGCCAUGGCUGACGUUAUCCUGCUUAAUGAAGGCAUCAAGCACCUGGCGAUAAUCUCGAAGAAGAAGUCUAAUAUGGUCCUGAGAGAAGAGUUGACUAAGAUAAUGCCAUUUCAUAGUCACCAGAUGUUCUCAUGCUGAGAAGAACCACAUGAUCAUUAGAUGCAAAUUGAAACUGAAAUGCAGUUGAAGAUGGGAACUUUUUUAUGCUUUGUAUAAUCUGAAGCUUCUUAAGUAAUUUUUCAAGGCUUCUUUAACAUCUAAUUACAAUUGCACCUUUGAACUACCACCCCUUUUUUGCAAUGUGGACCCCGAACUAUAAAAAAUUGCAAUGUGCAUCAUAAUGGCAUAUGCAUUUGGAACAAAA